AUGUGGGAGCCGGAAGAGUACGAGUUUGUGUGGAGGUCGCGUGAUUUCCUCCUCUUGCUGGCCACGCUGGUCGUCAACGCCACCUACGUUGCCGGGCUCAACCCGCCGGGCGGCCUGUUCGUCGAGGACGGCGACGGCCACCGCGUCGGCGGGCCGGUGCUGGCGACCACCUACCCCCGCCGCUACGCCGCAUUCUUCUACUGCAAUGCCGCCGCCUUCCUGGCAUCGCUGGUCAUCAUUAUGAUCCUACUGGACCGGCGCAUCGUCGGAAACCGCGCUGGGCUCACCGUGCUCCAGUCCGCCAUGGUGCUCGGCCUGCUCGCGCUCACGGGGGCCUUCGCGGCGGCGAGCUGCCACGGCGUGACCGCGUCCAUCUACGUACCGGCCGCGUUCGCCGUGCUGCUGGCGUACGUCACGAUCCACCUUCUCGUGGCUGCCAGGGCCAAGGAACAUUCGGGCGCGGAGGACGAGGGCCACCUUAGAGGACGGCGCUCGCUACCGCUGCUUCUGGCCACGUUCGCGACGCCUCUGGCAUACGGCGCGGGGCUGGCGCCGCCUGGCGGGUUCUGGUUUGACGACUCCGAGGGGUCUCGCGUCGGCGAUCCGGUGCUCGCGGACACCUACCCCGGCCGCUACCUCGCCUUCUUCUACUGCAACGCCACGUGUUUCGUGUCGUCCCUCGUUAUCGUCACGCUGCUGCUGAGCAGGAGGUGGCUGAGCCGCCGCGUCGUCCGGUCGUACGCGCUGCAAAUUUGCGUCCUGCUGGAGCUUCUCGGCCUUGUUGGCGCCUACGCUGCUGCCGCUGCCGCGACUGACCAGCCCACCGUCUACAUCGUCUCCUUCGCCGGGGCGGUGCUCUUGUACAUUGUGCUCGUAGGAAUAUUCUGCGUGGACACCACCAAAAAAUGGCUUCCAUGCCUCUUUCAGAGCCCUCGCAACUUGGAGCCAGCAUCACCAGAUGGGGAAGUUGAAGCGCAAAUCGACGGCAGCAACAGGGAUGAAUACAAUCUGAACAGGUCGCGGUCGGUUUUGCUGUUGCUGGCCACGCUGACGGCGACGGUGACAUACCAGGCAGGGCUGAACCCGCCAGGCGGCUACUGGCGCGAUGAGGACUACAAGGAUUACAGGUCAGGACAUCCGGCGCUCCUCGACGUGCUGCCGAAGAGGUACAAGGCCUUCUUCCACUGCAACACGACGUCGUUCGUGGCGUCGCUGGUGGUGAUCGUGGUGGUCCGAAGCAAGCAGCUCAUAUUGGGAGCCGUGGUCAAGCGUCACGUGCUGCAGGUGGCCAUAAUACUGAGCCAGUUGGGCCUGAUGGGCGCGUACGCCAGCGGGAGCUCCCGAGACGUCUCCACCACCAUCUGUAUCUCCGCAUUGGCCGUCGCCAAUGUCGUGGUGUUCAUCAUUCUGGGCAGCGGCGGGAGCAAGCGGACGCUGUGGGUGGAGCGUACGGCUCACAAGGUUCUGAAGAAGCUGCACCUGUUGGGCGAUGAUGAUGAUGAUGAUUAUGGGCAAUGCCAACUGAAUAGAGAGGAUCAGGAGCGGAGCCUGGAGAAGAAGCGCAGGUCUCUGAUUGUGCUGGCGAUGCUCGCCGCCACCGUCACGUACCAAACCGGGCUGAACUCGGCCGGCGGGUUCUGGGAGAUGGACUACGACUUCUCCUCCAAGAAGCUCUUCAGCGAGACGGUCCUCCUUGGCUACGACCGGAGCAGGUACCUGGUGUUCUUCUACUGCAACGCGGUGAUGUUUAUGGCCGCCGUCGCCGUCAUCCUCUUCCUGGUGAACCAGCGGCUGCACGAGCAGAGCAUACGGAGUAACGCGCUCCAGGCCUGCAUCAUGAUUGGGUUCCUGGCUCUCAGGACUGCCUACGCCCUAGGGACCACCCACAAGGUGAGCACCUCUGUCUACGUCUUUGGCCUCGUGGCCGGCGUGAUCACCUAUCUUGUCCUGCAAAUUCUACCGCUCCUGCUAAAGGACAGCGGCGGGCCGCCCAAUGUGCCACAGCUUCCGUUCUGGAUCCGGUGCCUAUUCCAGCCGCUGUCGCUGAGGACCGGCUACCAGAGGGCCAUGGUCUCGGACCAAGAAAUGGACAAGCACACAAAGCGCAGGUGCCUGAUGCUUCUCGGCGUUCUCACGGCGAGCAUGACGUACCAGGCGGGCCUUGUGCCUCCUGGCGGCACCUGGGUCGACUCUAGGAGUGGCCACCGUGCCGGCGACCCCAUCAUGCGCAACGUCCACUUGCCACGGUACCAGGCCUUCUUCUACUGCAACGCCACGUCCUUCGCGGCGUCCGUCAUUCUCAUCGUCCUGCUAAUGCACCGCACGGUGAGCCGGCGUGGCGCGCCGCUCAGGAUGAUGCAGGCUGCCAUGGUGCUGGACCUCGCCGGCCUGCUGGGCGCGUACGCGGCCGGCACCUGCUGGGUGUGGGAGCAGCUGUUCGCGUACGUGACCACGCUCGUUGCGGCCGUGGUCGUCUAUGUCGCGUUGCACGUGCUGCUAUGGCGUGGUAAUACUGCGGAUCCUGCACCAGCACCUCCGUCGACCACUCCGGCUUCCUCCCAUCAGCCACUUGGCAACAUUUAUUAG
rnacentral:rRNA from 1 species